rnacentral:rRNA from 1 species
CAAUAGUGUAUCUUAACGUUGUUGCAGUUAAAAAGCUCGUAGUUGAAUUUCUGGGGGGGUGUUUCUAGGUACGUCCGGAUUCUGCCCUUUCAUCCGCUUCGGAACCUUGAGGGGUAUUUAGUUAUCGGCAUGUGGGAAGAGGCAUUUUACUUUGAAGAAAUUAGAGUGUUCCAGGCAGGCAUUUGCUUGAAUACAUCAGCAUGGAAUAAUGGAAUAGGACAAUGUUCAUUUGAUUGGUUAUUGAACUUGUAAUGAUUAACAGGGACAGUUGGGGGCAUUCGUAUUCUGUUGUCAGAGGUGGAAUUCUUGGAUUAACUGAAGACGAACUAAUGCGAAAGCAUUUGCCAAGGAUGUUUUCAUUAA